CAGUUCGGAUUGAAGGCUGAAAUUCGCCUUCAUGAAGCCGGAAUUGCUAGUAAUGGCAGGUCAGCAUACUGCCGUGAAUACGUUCCCGGGCCUUGUACACACCGCCCGUCACACCAUGAGGGUUGGGGAUACCCGAAGCCUGUGAGCUAACUUUUAGAGGCAGCAGUCGAAGGUAGAAUCAAUGAUUGGGGUGAAGUCGUAACAAGGUACC
rnacentral:rRNA from 1 species